ensembl:lncRNA
AUGCAUCGUUAAAGUUUCACUCUCACCAUGAUUAAACCGGUAAAUGUGGUGUUUACAUGGAAUUAUCGUAAUAUGAGUUUACCUUGUGGUAUGAACCCAGAGUCUCCAUAUCAGUAAGCGAUAAAACGACCAUCUUCCAUUUGAAGACUUAUGUUGUAUUUCAGGGCAAAGCAAAAAAAAAAUUAUAAAAAAAAAAACAUUGUCAAACAGCAAUAUAAAAUGCGGGAAACUAUUACUUGGUUAUUCUACAAUUAAUGGUACUAUAAAUUAUACUACAAUUAUAAAAUACUGUAAAUUGAUAAACUGUUUGGCGUGAUGACAUUUAAUGUCUCCGACAGCGCCUGUAGUCCCAUUUAGCAACUUGUUAGCAACUGUUUUUAAGAAACAUAACAGUUUUAAAAAAUCAUGAGUGGGGUGUAACUAGUGUGUUUUAUGUUGUAGAAUAAAACGUGAAAGUAUCUUGCGCUUGUGUGAACCACAGACCUUAUUAAAGUGGAUUUAACCAAACUCACAUUCAAAAAACCCAUUGAAUCAUGUAGUUUAACAGAACGAGUGAACUGUUUUGCAUUUUUCACUUUAGCAGAGAAAACAUGGGAGAGACGGGGAGCAAGGUGGUCUUGAGGGAGACAUCUGUUGAUGGAGUCCAGCCCCAGCCGACGCCAGCACUUGCCAUAGACGGGUUAACCAAAACCAGCAAGAUGAAGGUGAAAUGGACCCAACUGGGCCUGGUGUUUUUCUUACUGCUGUCCAUCAUCAUGACUUCUUGCUUCAUUUGGCAGUACCAGCUGCCCAAGUUAGUGCUAGGUGAGUGAGUUGUCCACAGGUCAUGUGUUAAUGCACCUUUAACAGCUCCAAGACUGCUUCCUUGUGUAAGCUUUAAAGGGGUCAUAUGAUGCGAUUUCAAUUUUUCCUUUCUCUUUGGAGUGUUACAAGCCCUUGGUGCAUAAAGAAGAUCUGUAAAGUUGCAAAGGCUAAAGUCUCAAAUCCAAAGAGAUAUUCUUUAUAAAAGUUAAGAGUCAACCACUCCUACCUAAAACAGCUCAUUCUAACAUGUCUAUGUCAUGAUGUGGGAAGAUUUGCAUAACGCCCCCCAAAUGUUCACGCAAAGAAAGAAGGCGUAACUUUUGUUCUCGCUGUUGCCACCGUGGCCAUUUUGUGGAGACGCUGCGUGUUUCGUUGUGAAAGCGAAGAUACUUUGGCCUUCCAAAAGAGGACACAACUAGAAAUCAGUGGUUCUACACUGUUCUGGAAUAGUUCAACCCAAAUAUUCAGAUGUGUGCAGCGGAUUUUGUGGAGGUUGUGGACUGUUUCCUG